CGAACGCUGGCGGCGUGCUUAAUGCAUGCAAGUCGAACGAGAACCUCACAGUGGGUAACCACAGGGAGGUAUCUAGUGGCGAACGGGUGCGUAACACGUGAGAAACCUGCCCCGGAGAUCGGGAUAGCCCAGGGAAACCUGGAUUAAUACCGAAUAUCCUCCGACUGUCGCAUGGCGGACGGAGGAAAUGGUCCGCCGCUCCGGGAUGGUCUCGCGGCCUAUCAGCUUGUUGGUGAGGUAACGGCUCACCAAGGCAACGACGGGUAGCUGGUCUGAGAGGACGAUCAGCCACACUGGGACUGAGACACGGCCCAGACUCCUACGGGAGGCAGCAGCAGGGAAUAUUGCACAAUGGGCGCAAGCCUGAUGCAGCGACGCCGCGUGAGGGAUGAAGGCCUUCGGGUUGUAAACCUCUUUCAGGAGGGAAGAAGCGAAAGUGACGGUACCUCCAGAAGAAGACCCGGCCAACUAC
rnacentral:rRNA from 1 species